rnacentral:rRNA from 1 species
GGCCAGACUCCUACGGGAGGCAGCAGUGGGGAAUAUUGCACAAUGGGGGAAACCCUGAUGCAGCAACGCCGCGUGAGUGAAGAAGUAUUUCGGUAUGUAAAGCUCUAUCAGCAGGGAAGAAAAUGACGGUACCUGACCAAGAAGCCCCGGCUAACUACGUGCCAGCAGCCGCGGUAAUACGUAGGGGGCAAGCGUUAUCCGGAUUUACUGGGUGUAAAGGGAGCGUAGACGGCCAUGCAAGUCUGAUGUGAAAACCCGGGGCUCAACCCCGGGACUGCAUUGGAAACUGUGCGGCUGGAGUGUCGGAGAGGCAAGUGGAAUUCCUAGUGUAGCGGUGAAAUGCGUAGAUAUUAGGAGGAACACCAGUGGCGAAGGCGGCUUACUGGACUGUAACUGACGUUGAGGCUCGAAAGCGUGGGGAGCAAACAGGAUUAGAUACCCUGGUA